rnacentral:tRNA from 1 species
GAACUAAGAAAAUAUCAAGAAAAAGCUUCUAACUUUAUCUUAAGCGAAUAAUACCGUUUUUAGUCCA